rnacentral:rRNA from 1 species
GACGAACGCUGGCGGCGUGCCUAAUACAUGCAAGUAGAACGCACAGUUUAUACCGUAGCUUGCUACACCAUAAACUGUGAGUUGCGAACGGGUGAGUAACGCGUAGGUAACCUGCCUGGUAGCGGGGGAUAACUAUUGGAAACGAUAGCUAAUACCGUAUAAUAUUGAUUAUUGCAUGAUAAUUGAUUGAAAGAUGCUAUUGCAUCACUACCAGAUGGACCUGCGUUGUAUUAGCUAGUAGGUGAGGUAACGGCUCACCUAGGCGACGAUACAUAGCCGACCUGAGAGGGUGAUCGGCCACACUGGGACUGAGACACGGCCCAGACUCCUACGGGAGGCAGCAGUAGGGAAUCUUCGGCAAUGGACGAAAGUCUGACCGAGCAACGCCGCGUGAGUGAAGAAGGUUUUCGGAUCGUAAAGCUCUGUUGUAAGAGAAGAACGGGUGUGAGAGUGGAAAGUUCACACUGUGACGGUAUCUUACCAGAAAGGGACGGCUAACUACGUG